UUUUUUAAUGUUUAUAUUAUUUGAAUAAAACAUUCAAAUAAUAUAAAAAAUAAUAUAUAUAUUGACAUGGAUUAAACAAAGAUAUAUAUUAUUUUAUGUUGUAUAAACAAAUUGGCAAAAUAGAGAUGGAAGAUAAAAAUAUGGUCAAAGUAAUAAGAGUCUAUGGUGAAUGCCUAGGAGCUUUAAGGCGAAGAAGGUCGUGGUAAGCUGCGAAAAGCUUGGGGGAGAAGCAAACAUUUAUUGAUCCCAAGAUUACCGAAUGGAGUAAUCCAGCUAGCAAGAUGCUAGCUAUCUAUUAUCUAAAUAAUAGAGGCGAUACCAGGGGAAGUGAACCAUCUAAGUACCCUG
rnacentral:misc_RNA from 1 species